GGCCCAAGCUAUGAGCAGAGACAAGGGGGAACCAAAGUCUCCCCGAUAAUCUUUUCAUUGAAUACGGCGACCAACAUGUAUAGUUGUGUAAACCAACAUUUAGAAAUCCACACAAUAUCUACUCUUGAACAUGCUA